rnacentral:misc_RNA from 1 species
CAGCUGCUUCCUAGUUCUAGUAACCUAGCAACGCAUUUAAAUCAGGGUGGUCCUUCUGACAGUGCUCCCCCAGGACAUGUUGUUUCUUCUACUACACAACAGCAUUUACAGCAAGUUCCACCAGUCAGCCAGCAAAUCUCUACACUACAGAAACCCCUCCAAUCUUCCCAGCAUUUGCCUCCUCUUCAAUUACAUCCUCAAGUUACAUCUUAUUCACAGACAGAGACUUCCCAUGUUGGUCAAUUACAUGCUCCACUUAUUGCUGGUCAAACUCCAUUCACUCAAGCACCUCCAUCACAGCAGUAUCUUGGUAUGAGUGGACAGUUGUCUGCUUCUCAAUCUCAGCUCCAGCAGGGUGCCUCAACUGGUACAUCAUUAUCAGCGCCUUUGAAUAUCAACCUACAAUCUCAUUCUGUGUCUGCUGUGACAAAUCAACAACAGAUGCCUGCUCCUGUCCAGCAGCAACUGCUCCAGCCUCCUCAGCAGUCCCCCUCUCAGUUAGCUCAGAUGCUGUCGCAACAGACACAAACUUUGCAAGCAACCUUUCAGUCAUCUCAGCAGGUGUUCUCACAGCUUCAACAACAAUUGCAGAUGAUGCAACCAUCAAAUCAAGGUCUAACAUUGCAGCAGAGUUCUCA